CGUACAGUCGCUACGGAGCACGAUAGGAAUCUCCAAUGCGAAUCGACGACACCGCGAGUAUAGGCUUCGGAUCGGUAACUCUGUUGUUAAGCAGACCAGUCUAGUGAUUAGCUGCACCUGCGUGCUUACAGAAAGUCACGGCUACUACGUUCAGCAGCCCGGUAAUCGUAGUGGCAGCGUUUUCGGAAUAUGGGCGUAAAGGGCCCGCAAGUGGUUUUCUUAAUUUUAAUGAAACCCCCGGCUCAACGGGAGGGUCAUUGAAACUGGGAACUUGARUUCAGAAGAGGGAAAGUGGAAUUCCUGUGUAGCGGGGGAAAGCGUAGAGAUUUGGAGGAACACCAGUGGCGGAGGCGACUUUUUGGUCUGUUACUUACCCUGAGGCGCGAAAACGUGGGGAACCAACAGGAUUAGAUUCCCUGGUAGUUCCCCCCGUUAACGAUGAAUUCUUAAUUUUAGAGGGUUUUCCCCCCUUAGUUUUGAAGUUAACGCAAUAAACCCUCCCCCUGGGGAGUUCGGUCGCAAGGCUGAAACUCAAAGGAAUUGACGGGGGCCCCCCCCAACGGUGGAACAUGUGGUUUAAUUUGAAACCACCCGAAGAACCUUUCCCGGUUUUGACAUUCUUUGACAACCCUAGAGAUAGGGCUUUUCCUUCGGGAACAGAGUGACAGGUGGUGCAUGGUUGUCGUCAACUUGUGUCGUGAAAUGUUGGGUUUAGUUCCCCCACGAACCCCACCCCUGAUUUUAAUUUCCCUCCUUUAAUUGGGCCCUUUAAGGUGACUUCCGGUGACCAACCGGAGGAAGGUGGGGAUGACGUCAAAUCCUCAUUCCCCUUAUGACCUGGGCUUCCCCCGUUCUUCCAUGGGCGGUUCAAAAAACUGCCAAGCCCCGAGGUGGAACUUAUUUCAUAAAACCCUUUUCAAUUUGGAUUGUAGGSUGCAACUCGCCUUCCUGAAACUGGAAUCCCUAGUUAUCGCGGAUCAACCUUCCCCGGUGAAUUCCUUUCCCGGCCUUGUUCCCCCCCCCCGUCCCCCCCCGARAAUUUGUAACCCCCGAAAUCCGUGGGGGUACCUUUUUGGAGCCAGCCGC
rnacentral:rRNA from 1 species